rnacentral:tRNA from 1 species
GGUUGUAGCUCAGUGGUAGAGUGCUUGCCUAGCAUGUGUGAGGCCCUGGGUUCGAUCCCCAGCACCA